UACGUAGGUGGCAAGCGUUGUCCGGAUUUACUGGGCGUAAAGAGCGCGCAGGCGGUCGUUCAAGUCGCGUGUGAAAGCCCCCGGCUCAACUGGGGAGGGUCACGCGAUACUGAUCGACUGGAAGGCAGGAGAGGGUAGUGGAAUUCCCGGUGUAGUGGUGAAAUGCGUAGAUAUCAGGAAGAACACCCGUGGCGAAAGCGGCUCUCUGGAACGGUACUGACGCUGAGGAGCGAAAGCAUGGGGAGCGAACAGG
rnacentral:rRNA from 1 species